CUAACACGGAUUCCCCUAGUAACUGCGAGUGAAGCGGGAAAAGCUCAAAUUUAAAAUCUGGUGGUCUCUGGCCAUCCGAGUUGUAAUCUAGAGAAGUGUUACCCGCGUCGGACCGUGUAUAAGUCUCCUGGAAUGGAGCGUCAUAGAGGGUGAGAAUCCCGUCUUUGACACGGACUACCGAGGCUUUGUGGUAUGCUCUCAAAGAGUCGAGUUGUUUGGGAAUGCAGCUCAAAAUGGGUGGUAAAUUCCAUCUAAAGCUAAAUAUUGGCGAGAGACCGAUAGCGAACAAGUACCGUGAGGGAAAGAUGAAAAGAACUUUGGAAAGAGAGUUAAACAGUACGUGAAAUUGCUGAAAGGGAAACGCUUGAAGUCAGUCGCGUUGGCCGGGAAUCAGCCUUGCUUUUGCUUGGUGUACUUUCUGGUUGACGGGCCAGCAUCAGUUUUGACCGGUGGAAAAAGUUCAGGGGAAUGUGGCAUCUUCGGGUGUGUUAUAGCCCUUGUUCGUAUACAUCGGUUGGGACUGAGGAACUCAGCACGCCGCAAGGCCGGGUCUUUGACCACGUUCGUGCUUAGGAUGCUGGCAUAAUGGCUUUAAUCGACCCGUCUUGAAACACGGACCAAGGAGUCUAACAUGCCUGCGAGUGUUUGGGUGGAAAACCCGAGCGCGUAAUGAAAGUGAAAGUUGAGAUCCUGUCAUGGGGAGCAUCGACGCCCGGACCUGACGUUUUCUGACGGCCCUGCGGUAGAGCAUGUAUGUUGGGACCCGAAAGAUGGUGAACUAUGCCUGAAUAGGGUGAAGCCAGAGGAAACUCUGGUGGAGGCUCGUAGCGAUUCUGACGUGCAAAUCGAUCGUCAAAUUUGGGUAUAGGGGCGAAAG
rnacentral:rRNA from 2 species